GAAUUCGCCCUUAGAGUUUGAUCCUGGCUCAGGACGAACGCUGGCGGCGCGCCUAACACAUGCAAGUCGAACGGAGCUUAGAGAGCUUGCUUUUUAAGCUUAGUGGCGAACGGGUGAGUAACGCGUGAGUAACCUGCCCUAGAGUGGGGGACAACAGUUGGAAACGACUGCUAAUACCGCAUAAGCCCACGGUACCGCAUGGUACUGAGGGAAAAGGAUUUAUUCGCUUUAGGAUGGACUCGCGUCCAAUUAGCUAGUUGGUGAGGUAACGGCCCACCAAGGCGACGAUUGGUAGCCGGACUGAGAGGUUGAACGGCCACAUUGGGACUGAGACACGGCCCAGACUCCUACGGGAGGCAGCAGUGGGGGAUAUUGCACAAUGGGGGAAACCCUGAUGCAGCGACGCCGCGUGGAGGAAGAAGGUUUUCGGAUUGUAAACUCCUGUCGUUAGGGACGAUAAUGACGGUACCUGACUAAGAAGCCCCGGCUAACUACGUGCCAGCAGCCGCGGUAAAACGUAGGGUGCAAGCGUUGUCCGGAAUUACUGGGUGUAAAGGGAGCGCAGGCGGACCGGCAAGUUGGAAGUGAAAACCAUGGGCUCAACCCGUGAAUUGCUUUCAAAACUGCUGGCCUUGAGUAGUGCAGAGGUAGGUGGAAUUCCCGGUGUAGCGGUGGAAUGCGUAGAUAUCGGGAGGAACACCAGUGGCGAAGGCGACCUACUGGGCACCAACUGACGCUGAGGCUCGAAAGCAUGGGUAGCAAACAGGAUUAGAUACCCUGGUAGUCCAUGCCGUAAACGAUGAUUACUAGGUGUUGGAGGAUUGACCCCUUCAGUGCCGCAGUUAACACAAUAAGUAAUCCACCUGGGGAGUACGACCGCAAGGUUGAAACUCAAAGGAAUUGACGGGGGCCCGCACAAGCAGUGGAGUAUGUGGUUUAAUUCGAAGCAACGCGAAGAACCUUACCAGGUCUUGACAUCCGAUGCAUAGUGCAGAGAUGCAUGAAGUCCUUCGGGACAUCGAGACAGGUGGUGCAUGGUUGUCGUCAGCUCGUGUCGUGAGAUGUUGGGUUAAGUCCCGCAACGAGCGCAACCCCUAUCUUUAGUAGCCAGCAUUUAAGGUGGGCACUCUAGAGAGACUGCCAGGGAUAACCUGGAGGAAGGUGGGGAUGACGUCAAAUCAUCAUGCCCCUUAUGAUUUGGGCUACACACGUGCUACAAUGGUGAUAACAAAGUGAAGCGAACCCGCGAGGGAGAGCGAACCACAAAAAAAUCAUCUCAGUUCGGAUUGUAGUCUGCAACUCGACUACAUGAAGCUGGAAUCGCUAGUAAUCGCGAAUCAGAAUGUCGCGGUGAAUACGUUCCCGGGUCUUGCACACACCGCCCGUCA
rnacentral:rRNA from 1 species